rnacentral:rRNA from 1 species
UACGUAGGGCGCAAGCGUUGUCCGGAAUUAUUGGGCGUAAAGAGCUCGUAGGCGGUUUGUCGCGUCUGCUGUGAAAACCCGGGGCUUAACCCCUGGCUUGCAGUGGAUACGGACAGACUAGAGGUAGGUAGGGGAGAAUGGAAUUCCCGGUGUAGCGGUGAAAUGCGCAGAUAUCGGGAGGAACACCGGUGGCGAAGGCGGUUCUCCGGGCCUUACCUGACGCUGAGGAGCGAAAGCGUGGGGAGCGAACAGG